rnacentral:rRNA from 1 species
AAGUGGCGGACGGGUGAGUAACACGUGAGAAUUUACCUUUAGGAGGGGGAUAACAGAGUGAAAACGCUGCUAAUACCCCAUAUGCUUUCGAGUGAAAUGGAUUUAUUCGCCUAAAGAGAAGCUCGCGGCUGAUUAGCUUGUUGGUAAGGUAAUGGCUUACCAAGGCGACGAUCAGUAUCUGGUUUGAGAGGACGAUCAGACACACUGGAACUGAGACACGGUCCAGACUCCUACGGGAGGCAGCAGUGGGGAAUUUUCCGCAAUGGGCGAAAGCCUGACGGAGCAAUACCGCGUGAGGGAUGACGGCCUUUGGGUUGUAAACCUCUUUUCUCAGGGAGGAAUUCAAUGACGUUACCUGAGGAAUAAGCAUCGGCUAACU